UACGUAGGGAGCGAGCGUUGUCCGGAUUUAUUGGGCGUAAAGAGCGCGUAGGCGGCUUGGUAAGCCGGAUGUGAAACCUCCAAGCUUAACUUGGAGCGGCCAUUCGGAACUGCCAUGGCUAGAGUCUGGUAGGGGAACACGGAAUACCUGGUGUAGCGGUGAAAUGCUUAGAUAUCAGGUGGAACACCAGUGGCGAAGGCGGUGUUCUGGGCCAGUACUGACGCUGAGACGCGAAAGCGUGGGGAGCAAACAGG
rnacentral:rRNA from 1 species